rnacentral:rRNA from 1 species
CUUUAUUGGAGAGUUUGAUCCUGGCUCAGGAUGAACGCUGGCGGCGUGCCUAAUACAUGCAAGUCGAGCGAAUGGAUUAAGAGCUUGCUCUUAUGAAGUUAGCGGCGGACGGGUGAGUAACACGUGGGUAACCUGCCCAUAAGACUGGGAUAACUCCGGGAAACCGGGGCUAAUACCGGAUAAUAUUUU